UGUGAAUUAAAAAGGAAAAAAGUUGGGUUUUCUCUGUGGUUAAGAUUGAGUUUGAAAUUGAGGAAAUAUAGAUCGACGUAUGGUUGUUGGUAGUGUUGAGGAAAUAUACUUCUGUGGGAAAUUUCAAGAUGUUUCAUAUCUGGUCAUUAAUUCGAAUCCAGGAGUAAUCACUUUGAUGAUGCUAACAAAAAUCAGAUGGUUGUAGGGAAGAAAGAAACACCCCAUCUCGUACAACGUGGUAAACAACUAAUUGGUAACUAUCUUCUUCAAUCGAUUAUUUCUAAUAUUGAUCUACGAGAAGAUCUUACUGAUGCAGUGAAGGAAUUUGUGAAAUUUUGGUUUAAAAUUGGGGACUCUGUGGGUUAAGAGUAGAGAUUUGGAGCGUCGAGUUGGUUCUGCUGGGUUUUUCUAGUGCUAGUUAACUUCAUCCAAGAAUGCAUGAGAUCGUUCAGAUAACAUCACAAUCAAGAGUACUCAACACGGUUUUUGAAGCUUCACCAGAUCCAAUGGAGUGGUAAAGGAGAAGCAGCGUCCACUGAUGCCAGGGCACUUUCAGGCCAUGACUCUUAAAAAUUUCAGACGGGUUUUAUGAAUUAUGAGCAAACACUGAUUAGAAAUCGACACAGAUGAACUGCAGAAUGAUACUUGACAGAAAAUUUGGCCUAGUCAUGUAUUCAUAUUUUUUGCAGGUACAACGUGGUAAACAACUAAUUGGUAACUAUCUUCUUCAAUCGAUUAUUUCUAAUAUUGAUCUACGAGAAGAUCUUACUGAUGCAGUGAAGGAAUUUGUGAAAUUUUGGUUUAAAAUUGGGGACUUUGUGGUUUCGGAAAAAGCAUCCCGAUAAAACUUCAGUUGACUUAUCAUUUCAUAACUUGAGAAAGUUAGGGGCUCCACAAACUCGACACACUCUGACCCCAAGAAAGAACUCUGUGCAUCAUCCCGCCACAUUGAGCACCAGUGCAACAACCAUGCCGCACUCACCC